CCAAACGUAACUAUCAUCAGUUCACGGUUUCAUGCAAAAACAAUGAAAGCCAUGAACAAGUUAACAAUCUUGAUAGGAGGGAUGUGCUUUUGGGCUUGGGUGGCCUUUAUGGCGCCUCAAACCUCAUCAUCAACCCUUUUGCCAUGGCAGCUCCUAUAGCCGCCCCAGAAAUCACCAAAUGCGGUCCACCGGCGGACUUACCUUCAGGAGCAGUUGUCACUGACAAUUGCUGUCCGCCGGUGCCCGGCAAAGUCAUUGACUACAAACUCCCUCCACCACCUAAGGUGAACCGUUUUAGGCCAGCUGCUCAUUUGGUCAAGAAAGACUACAUUGAAAAACUUAACAAGGCGGUCGAGCUCAUGAAAGCUCUGCCAGCUGAUGAUCCCCGUAAUUUUACCCAACAAGCAAAUGUUCAUUGCGCUUAUUGCAACGGUGCCUACGUCCAAUCAGGCUCUGAUCAAGAAAUUCAAGUCCAUAACUCGUGGCUAUUCUUUCCUUUUCAUAGAUGGUAUUUGUACUUCUAUGAAAGAAUCUUGGGAAAGCUAAUAGGCGAUCCCAGUUUUGGACUGCCCUUUUGGAACUGGGACAACAUUGGUGGUAUGACCCUACCGUCCAUAUUUCAGGACCAAUCGUCAGCACUGUAUAACCAAAAUCGUAACCAAAGUCAUCUGCCACCAACAGUCGUGGACUUGGGGUAUAAUGGUACGGAUACAGAUGCAACAGACAUAGAAAGGAUAAAAAACAAUUUGGCGAUCAUGUACCGUCAAAUGGUCACUAAUUCCACCACUGCCAAAGAUUUCUUUGGAAAGGAAUACCGGGCCGGCGAUGCGCCCAGCCCUGGUGCAGGGUCCAUCGAGGCCAUUCCCCAUAUCCCAAUCCACAGGUGGGUCGGCGAUCCAAGGCAGACAAAUGGUGAAGAUAUGGGUAAUUUCUACUCAGCUGGAAGAGAUAUUGUGUUCUAUAGCCAUCAUGCAAAUGUGGACCGGAUGUGGACAAUUUGGCAACAAUUGGGAGGUAAAAGGAAGGAGGUCGCCGAUCCAGAUUGGCUGAAUUCUUCCUUCAUUUUCUACGAUGAAAAUGCUCAGCCUGUCCGCGUGAAAGUUGGUGAUUGUUUUAGCAAUGAUAAAAUGGGAUAUAUUUACCAAAAGGUGGAUAUUCCUUGGGUUAAGAAUAAGCCCGUGGCCCGGGUGACAAAAUCUAGAGUGGCUUUCACUUCCGGGGCACCACCAGCCGAUAAGGUAUUCCCGGGACCCCUUAACAAGACCGUGAAAGUGUUGGUCAAGAGGCCCAAAUUAUCAAGAAGCAAGAAGCAAAAGGAGGAGGAGGAAGAGAGAUUGGUGGUGUCCGGGAUCGAGUUUUCCAUGGACAAGUAUGUUAAGUUUGAUGUUUUCAUUAAUGAUGAAGAUGAUAAUCCAAACGAUUUUGCUAAGUCCGAGUAUGUUGGGAGCUUUGCACAUUUGCCACACAAGGUUAAAGGUGACAUGAAAGUUAAGACUACUCAAACCUUUGAGUUGACUGAGAUUUUGGAGGACUUAGAUGUUGAAGAAGACGAUGCCCUGUUGGUGACUUUGGUGCCAAAGUCCAAAACUGCUCUUACCAUUGAUAGCAUCAAGAUUGAGGUUGCUGCUUGAUUCACCUGCUAGUACUUUUUUUUUUUUUUUUUUUAAUCUCCUCCCUGGGAAAAAAUCUGGCAUUAGAUUUCAUCGAAUGCUUUGAUUUUGACCUAUGCAUGUUUCAGCACCAUGAAUAAAAUACUUCUGGUGUGCUUGUCACCAGUUAAUAAAAAUAUAUUUCAGGUUCUUGUUUUCUUGCCACCUAUCUGACAACGUCCCUUUUGGUUUUUCUUUUUGAAAAGUUUAAUUUACAUUAAAGUUUAAGAUCUUAUGACGCUAUCUAUCUAACUUUCUCCACUCAAAAAAAAAAAAAAGGAAAAAAAAAGAAAUAGAAAAAGACAAUUCUUCCUCAAUCAAAAUUAAAUUUUUCUGUUCGUAUCCAAAAGGAAAACAAAAAGUGAUCCUCAACUCCCACGUUUGGCAAAGCUUACAAGUGUUAGCUUCCGAUUCGCCAUUUCAAGGUAGUGAGAUAGACUAUACAUUUAAUUUAGCAAAAUAUAGGAGAGUUUUUUUUUUUAAAAAAAAAAGAAUAUAGGAGAUGCUACAAAAAGUGAGGGAAUUCUACAAUAAUGAUCCUUGUUUUUUGUGUGUUGAGGAAAGAGGUGAUUUCUUAAAUUUGUGCGAUCCCACAUUUCAUUUCAUAUGCAACUAUUUCGUAUACCACUUUUGAUUUCAUGUGCAACUUUAUUAAUUUGUGAAGACAGAAAAGUCCUUAUAAAUUUCUUAAACGGUUUUCUUCGCUUUUCCCUUAUAAUGCUUGAAAUUUUCUUUGAACAAUUAAAAGAAAAGUUGAAUAAGGACAGAUAAAGAUUAAUAUAUCAUAAUAUAAGUGAAUUCUCUGUUCCUUUCCCCCUCCCUACUUUUGAAGUUCUUGUACCAUUCGAAAUGUUUGACAAACUUGGCUCUCUCACUCUGCAUUAAAUAGCUAUCGGUCAAAUUUACGAGGUUCGCAUAUAUUGCAGUCUUGUGGGACCAAGUGAAAUCUACAAUGAUAAAAAAAACUAAUUUUUGGUUUGUAUACUUGCAAAUUAAUUAUGGUUAACAGAAACCUAAUUUCUCUCCAAUGAAUUAUACAUUUGGAAUUUGUAGAAAAUUGAAAUAUCUGAAUGUCGAAUGGUGUACAUCUGUCACUGCCACUAAAAUCAAUUGAAUGGUUGUAGUUUGGCCCUACAUUUGGAAGACCCCAAAAAGAACAAAUAUGAAAAGGAAAUUACCAAAGGAAAAAAGAAUAAACCGACGAGAUUGAAAAAGGCACAAAAGCUCCCAUGUUAUAAAACGUUCCUCUCUAUCCAAAUAAUAGAUAGGUAUUGGUUUUUCUUUCUUGUAUCUGGACUUAGACAUAGUAGUGGGGUCAAUGUCAAUCAAACAGGUGUAAUGGAAUCCAUGACCAGAGGCUGUUGAUUUUCCUCUACCGGUCAGUUUUUCUGUCUUCUACCGGUCAUAUGCGGGGGACUAUUGUAGCUCUAGUUCUCGUGGGAGUUGGCAUGAUUAAGACUUUUCCCCUAUUUUGUGCAGACAAACGUUAGUUGUUUCAACGCUUGAAUAGAGGUGAGCAGGAAAAGUGAGAGUAUGCUAGAUUCCAUUUGAUACGAUAGAUAUUUUCUGUCUGGAAAAGGACCUGGUUGGAUUCGUUUUCACUUGUACGUAGCGUUUCAUUACUUUUUUUUUUUUUUUUGUCGCAAUCAUAGAUGUCCUAUAAUCUAAUCUAGCCUAAUCUAAAGGGAAGGGGAGGGGGUUCGAUGUGAGUACAGACUCCAUCGAUGAAAGUCAAUUAAGACCGCCACAAAUUGAACCCCUGAUCCCCAGCAUCGCCUUUAAUGGUGAUGACCACUGGACCAAAUGGCCAGGAUUCCAUUACGGGCCCUUUGAUUUCUAAAGAACAAUCCAAUCGCUAACUACUCCUCCCAGUCCCAAAUAUCAGGUAGCCAUAUCAUCUCAACCUUAUAUUACUUCUAAUUAUCUAUUUGUAACACUAAAAUCUUUAUGCCAAACCAGAAAAUAUAUACAUAUCCUUAACAAUUUCUACAAUUCUUGUCCUUUUCCCUCUUUCCUUUCACUAUUUUUUCCUUCUUCUUUUGCCUUUUGCAUUCGUAGAACCAAAGUAAUUCAUUGUAUCAUGUUCUUGACUCUGAAACUUGAAUGGCUACAUCCUUAUAAUCUCAUUUAUCACGUGUACAGACAACGAUACUCUGGUCCCGCAGCCAUUCUGGCCACCCACGAGCUCUUACGGAUAAAAUCCAUCCAACUAGUAAAGGAUAAGGCCAUUACUGAUCAGCCCUGGCGAUGCAAAUACAAAGACAAAAAACACGUACAACACCUGCAUUUCCAGAUGGAUUUCACCAGAUGCCAACGGCUGAAAAAGGACUAGUAAAGCUAUUCCAAUUUGCAUUUAAGAAGAGAAAAAGAAGGUGAAAAUUUCGACAAAUGUUUUGGGAUGAUAAAUAAAGAAUAAGAAGCCCCUCAGGGCUGAAGGCUAUGGAGUAUAGAUCUUUUUCCACUUAAUAUUUGACUCGUUCCAUGCAUGGAUGAUGUACCUCUGGAAAUUUUCUAAAGAAAAGAAAGAAACCAGUAGAGAAGUUACCUUCUUUGCAGUCUCUAAUGGACGAGCCCAUUAAUCGUUCCAAUUAUGUUCUUCAAACAUUGCCCUACUCCCUCAGAAUUGAGAUUGAUCUGUCACAGCCAUUUAUAUGCCAUUUGGAUAUGUACUACACAAUCAGCAUGAGGCGCAAAGCAAAAUAUGUUUGUACUUUCAAAUCUGUACUACAUAAAUUUUAUUAGGUAGUAGUACACCACUUUCAUUCCCCCACCCAAAAAAAAAAGCCUAAUUUUAAAUUUUUUUUAAAAAAAAAUUUCAGUCACGUUAAGUGAAACCGUUUUAAGUUUUAACCAAGCUCUAACAGAUUUUAUUAGCACAUUUGGAUUGCUAUUUUUAGAAUUUUUUUUUAAAAAAAUGUAUUGUAACGAUAUGAUAUAUAAGAGAUAAAAAAGCAAUCCAGAAAUGUAUUCAAGAAAAAUAUAAAAACUUUUUUGAGACCAUCUGUAUCACGGGCCGAUUACGUGCAAUGGAAGACAUACUCUACAUUUUAUCGGUAGCCCAGUCCCAUCUCAUUGGGUCCUUCAUGUUUUUGGAGGUGGGGAGGAAAAAUACAGAACGCAGUUUUUUUGUACAAUUAUUGUCUAGCUUCAUGAAGGAAAAAUUCAAAUAAAAAAUCAGUAUUUAAAUAUGUUUUUUUGAGGUGAAAUUUUGAAGGAACAUUGCCGCCCCAACCAAAAAUUUGUUUAAUUGGAGAUAAAUAAAAUUUGCUCAACUCUUGACAUCUAAGGAAAAUCAAACAAAAAAAUCAUUUGCCAGUAGUGAUACAAGAAAUAUGACAUUUAUUUAUAUAUUUAUUUAUUUAAUAGAGAAAUAUGAAAUUAUCCAUGAAACAUUUGCAAAUCCAUGAAGAUUGGGUACGGGCCAUAGAAGGCCGGCGAAACAAUUUAGAUAAUUUUAAAAUAGGUUGGGCAUUUUCUUCCUGCAUUUCAGCCCUUUUCUCAUGUAGGCUUUCUCUGAGAUCGGCCCAAACAUUUUUGUUCUAAGUUACACUCUGGGCCUGUUGGUUCACCGGGCCAACACCAAAUUUGAGAUGAGCAUUGCGUAAUACUGAACAAGAUAUUUGGUGGGAUUGAAUCGCCAUCAAUUUUUUUUUUUUUGAGUUGAUGAGGAAUUCAAAAAGACUAAAUCACUAUCUGAUCAAACAAAUGCCCGUUCAUCCGCCGAGGAAAUUUUCAAAUGAGAAUAUGAACAAAAAAAUUUGAUCCUUCAACUUAUAUCUAUGGAGGGACUUAAGUCCCAUCGUGAUGGCCAACUCAGCCCAGCUAAGUUAGGUAAUAGCACCAAUAUUCAAGGACGUGAAAAAGAGGUUUUUUCAUUCUUUAUGCAGUAUUGUUGUGACCAUGAAGUUGUUUCCCAAUUCGCAUUGACUACCCACACGUCCACUUAUAUUUUAAAGGAGAGCUCAACUGGGUCAAGAAAAUUUGAGAAAGAGAAAUCCAUAUCUAGACUACAAAUGCUGUACUACUAGACAUCUUCUUGAUUUAAUUGCAAAUAUGAGAGUUUUAAUAACUAGCUGGUAUCUUAUACUACGUUGGUAAGCAUCUACCUAAAGCGGGUUUUUCAAAAAACAAAAAUAUUUUCUAGCCCGUUGUCGUGUGUAUAUUGUUAACAUACUUUUAGGUUGGCACGCACCAACGCUUCACUCUAAUGGUUGGAAAUGUCCGUAAACCCUAUCAUUUGUGGUUUCUGAUCAUUGAUACAAGGAAUAUUGAGAAUUGAAAAAUACAAUAAUGACAUGAUCGUAUCCAAUGAUCAAAUACCAAUUCCUCGUCCAGAAUGGCCUUAUUGCAUAUGAAAUGGGGCAACAUUCCAGUCUCACAAAUUAAUCUUGAGUACAAUAAAUAUGCUGUGCUCCAAGAAUUAGACUAGAGAUGGAUCUUCUGUGGUGUAACCGGGCAAUGACCGACCAACCAGUAGUUCGUUGUUGGAGUGGUUAGAUUCACAUUUAAGCUUUCACAUGCGAUGUUUUCCUCCAAACAUUAACUAAUCCAGCUACCUAUCUCGGUUUCACAUUUAAUGUCACAAUUUAUUGUUCUUAAAUAUUUUUCUUUAUUGUGAAUGUAGGCAAUGUCACAGUCUUACCUCUGGACAACACACACAGCCCCGUGACUUUUACUAAUUGAUAUUUAGGACCACAAUUCAAUGUUAUCAUGAUUUUUCAAUAACUAUUAAAUGAGAUUUUUUAUGAAUUUUUUGCUGUAUUUUUUAAUUUUCUAUUAUAUAUAUUGCUUUUUUGAAGCAGUUGUAUUUAUUUUUUAGUCAAUUAAUGGUUAUUGAAGUUGCUGUAUUUAUUUUUUAAUAUUUUAAGUUUGUUAAAUUUUGUGUAUUACUCAAUUAAUAGUUAUUGGAUCUUUAAGAAAUAAAAAAGAACUAAAAUAUGAUGUUUAUGUAGGAGAAAUAGCAAUAUAAUAAAAAAUGAGAUAAAGAGUGGUACAGGGUGUGAGACAGAAGAUCCGUUGCGCCCCUGAAUUCUUUCGUCCAUUCCCUGUUUUCUGCUUCCAAAUGACAGUUCCAAGCAAGUAAACAAUAUAUUCGUGCAACAAAUUAACACAUGGCAAUUCGGAAAUUUUACCUGCUUGUUCUGGACACAGAGAAAACAUCCUCCAACUUUAGAAUGGAUGAGGAAUUGAGAGAAUUUGAGGAGGACAGACGAUCACGAAAAUGUGUUGGUGACUUUGGUCCAAAGAGAGGUGCUGUGACCAUAAUACAGAGUCUCAUACUAAAAUAGAAAACCAUCUGCUGUUACAUUUUACAGCAUAUUGGAAAUGGAAAGAAAGUUGCAAGAAAUUUUGAACCUCGACAGAAAAUUCGAAAGAAAAGAAAGAACCAAAAAUCCGAAUUUAAGAGCAAGGUGAGUUUCAAUAGCACCAACGGUUACAGCACCACUCUCUAGUUUCUGCACCAAAGACACCAACACACUUUGAUAAUCUUCAAAUGAAUCAUUCUCAUCCUUUCUCCUUUCGAAAAGAUACUUGUUCUUCCCUAAGAGCCCGCAUUCGAAUUAGCACUAAUCGGUACAAACUUGGCAUGUCCGUAUAAUUAAGUAGGCUUGUUGAUCCUUGGGGCCUUUUAUCUUUCAAUUGUUUGUACUACUUGGUUGUACUACGCUACUACGUACACAGACGGAAAACUUAUAAGAAAAUAGACAAUUGGUACUACACAUGUCUCAUGCAGUUUGUACUUCGUACUAGAAUGCAGUUUGUACUACGUCUCUUUAGCAAGACAUCCAUUUCUCUCAUAUUUCUUGACAGCGCACUCAAAUACCUGAGCAAAAUUGCAGCCUUCGCGAAGGCUUGAAAUCAAUUGAUCGCUUAGACGCUGAGGAAAUAUGAACUUCACCAACUUGGGGAUCCACAAAGUGAAAUCAAUGGCUUUAAAAGUUAAUGAAAGGCUAAACUAUCUGUAUUGCAAAUUAAAUAUACCUCACGAAGCAAUGGAUAUUUCCGUGAUAGAUUCAUUUAUACUUCUUGCUAGGAGAAGAUGAAUUCCUUCUCGAUCUUUUUCCUCUAAAAUGGUAAUGAAGGAAAAGUCAUAUUCUUGUAUCUCUCACUAGUCUAUCAUUAUCUUUUUUCAUUUUAGUCCAUCAUUAUCUUAUUUCUUUAUUCCUAUAUUUUAGGUAUUUUCACCCUCUGAAUUUUAGAUACAUUCGCGGAUAUUUUGUAUAUGUCUGUCCCAUGCUGCCUUGAGCAUUAAGUCAUCUUCAGAUUUCUAUUCAUUUCUUGGUAACAAAUCGAUAAACAAUAGCAGAUUGCGAAUUUAUGACCACCAACAUGGCUGCCCACAUCUUUUUCCACAAAGACUUCGCCAUGAGAAAGAUUGAAGGAGACUUGGCAUGGAAAUUUAACCUGGAUUGCAGGGCAAAGGGAAUUAUUGUGAUGGUAACAAUACGAAUUUUCAAUUAUUUGGGGGUCAAUAUAUAUUUAGAAAAAAGAAUUUGUUAAAAUUUAGUGAGUUCAAAUAAAAUGGAACUUUAAAAUUUUUCUAAAUUUUCUAAAUCUAGAUUUUUCCAAAAUCAAGUGGGAUCAAUUGACUCCACUUGCUUUCACAUGGCUCCGCCACUGGAUUCACAUGCACCAUCCUUCUCUACAAAGACUUCACCAUGAGGAAGAUUGAAGGAGACUUGGGAUGGAAAUUUGUCCCAUAGGAUUAUAGAACAAACAAAUAAUUAGUGUUACAGUAAUUAUAGCAACAGCCAAAAUAACCAAGAAAAAAAAAAAAGAUUGUAGCAACAGCCUUGUGGUCUUCUUCUUAAUGUUGGGACGUACGGCAGUUCAUCUUUUUCUUAGUAUGUUGUCCUGCGUGUCUUAAUUAACUACUGCAAUAUCCUAGCAAUCUAAUACCAAUGACUUUUGUGUUGUUUUAUUCAAUAUCACAGUGCUAUCAUUUAUGUAUACGUUAUUCAAUAUCUGUGUAUGCAUUUAGGGUUCAAUACCAGGAAAAGAAAGAAAGGGCCCUCGUUUUCAAAGUCGGCCCUUUCUGUCUUUAAUAGUUUAAUGUGAUACUACUGUUGCCAUUCCCACAAAUUGGGGAAGAGAGAGAGAGAGAGUUGGGAACGAUGAAUUUAGAAGCUCCAUUGAAAGCGUAACGGAUCUUUUGUCUCAUAUUUUGUGUCAUUCUCUGUCCCACAUUUUAUUAUAUUACUAUUUAUCCUUCAUAAACAUCAUGUUUUAGUUCUUUUUUGUUUCCUUAUGAAACCUCAAUUGCACUUACUCCAAUUCCCUUUCAAAUUGUGCAGAAUGUUAUUGAUCCUAUUGAAUUAAUGCAUGUCAUCAUAGACUUUGCGACUGAUUUUGCAUCUUUCUUCGUUUACAUCCCCCAAUGAACACCAAUUACCAACCUACAAAAAAAAAAAGAAAAAGAAAAACACCGAUAGCCAAAAUCACGUGUUUAACGUCAGUGACACGGGGUCGCCAAUUGCUUCAGUAUAAGAACAGGAGCUUCCCUUAGCUUCUUUGCUACCACAGCCCCCUAAAGAAAAGCCGCCAAUGGCAUCUCUUUCAACUCCCCUUCAAAGCUCCACUGCCUACUCCUCCUCCUCUACUCUGUCCUCCUGCCCUUUCUCUACCAAGCCAUCACAGUUUUACCUCAGUGCCAAACGUAACUAUCAUCAGUUCACGGUUUCAUGCAAAAACAAUGAAAGCCAUGAACAAGUUAACAAUCCUGAUAGGAGGGAUGUGCUUUUGGGGUUGGGUGGCCUUUAUGGCGCCUCAAACCUCAUCAUCAACCCUUUUGCCAUGGCAGCUCCUAUAGCCGCCCCAGAAAUCUCCAAAUGCGGUCCACCGGCGGACUUACCUCCAGGAGCAGUUGUCACUGACAAUUGCUGUCCGCCGAUGCCCGGAAAAGUCAUUG
rnacentral:lncRNA from 1 species